rnacentral:rRNA from 1 species
AGGGAAUAUUGGGCAAUGGAGGCAACUCUGACCCAGCCAUGCCGCGUGCAGGAAGACGGUCCUCUGGAUUGUAAACUGCUUUUGAAUGGGAAGAACAACAUUCUUGCGAGAGUGUCUGACGGUACCAUUAGAAUAAGCACCGGCUAACUCCGUGCCAGCAGCCGCGGUAAUACGGAGGGUGCAAGCGUUAUCCGGAUUUAUUGGGUUUAAAGGGUGCGUAGGCGGCCCUAUAAGUCGGUGGUUAAAGGUAGCCGCUUAACGGUUUUACAUGCCAUCGAUACUGUAGGGCUUGAGUAAUUUGGAGGUAGCUAGAAUUCCCUGUGUAGCGGUGAAAUGCAUAGAUACGGGGAGGAAUACCGAUUGCGAAGGCAUGUUACUACGAAUUAACUGACGCUGAUGCACGAAAGCGUGGGGAUCAAAC